rnacentral:lncRNA from 1 species
UGGGUAUGUGCGGACAGAUAAUAUUGAGCAAUGACGGUCAAUUAGGUCAUAGCAUAUUACCGUGCUGUGAAACCCUAAUUAUUAAACUCAGUUAUGGGAUAUUUCUGAGUAGUGACUGUGUAUAUGAAGUUACUGUGAAUAAGAAUAUCGGUUAUUAGAAAAAACCCUAAUUACUGUUGUACGUCGAUAAUUAGGACAAACCCUAAUUAUUAUAACCCUAACUGGUUGAAAUUAGAAACCGUAACGACUGUGUUAGUAACAUACACAGAUAAUUAAAGAACCACUAAUGGUCAAUUAGAAAUCCUAAUUGAUG